UACAGAGGCCUCGAGCGUUAGGCGGAAUCACUGGGCUUAAAGCGUGUGUAGGCGGAGUUCUAAGUACCUUGUGAAAUCCCACGGCUCAACCGUGGAACUGCUUGGUAUACUGGUUCUCUUGAGGUACCUAGGGGCGAGCGGAACAAGUGGUGGAGCGGUGAAAUGCGUAGAUAUCACUUGGAACGCCAACGGUGAAAACAGCUCGCUGGGGGUAUCCUGACGCUGAGACGCGAAAGCGUGGGGAGCGAACAGG
rnacentral:rRNA from 1 species